UUCUUGAGCUUUUAGUGUUCGCGGCCGGUUUUAUAAUCACAAUUUUUACCUCUUUAAGUUGUUUUGGUUUUUAAAUAAUUAAAUAUGGCUCUGUUAUUACAACGUGCUGCGAAACUUAUCAGUCGUAAUGUGCUGCCACUUACAACAACCAGUAAAUGUCGCUACUCCGUUGAAGCCGACCCUAUCUUAGGCGACGGCACUGAAGUUCUUGUCGAACGUCUGGAGGGCCCGCAAAAAGGCAUAACUGUGUUAGGUCUCAACAGGCCGGCUGCAAAGAAUUCAUUCAGUCGUGGGCUCGUGAACACCUUCAGUGAUAUCCUGCAAGAUAUUAAGCGUGACAAUGGGUCGCGUGUGGUUGUGUUGCGCAGUCUCACACCAGGGAUAUUUUGUGCUGGCGCAGAUUUAAAAGAACGUAAAGGCAUGACAACUGAAGAGACAAGCGAAUUCGUGACACAACUGCGAGGUUUGCUUAUCAGCCUUGAACAACUACCAAUGCCUGUGAUUGCAGCUCUCGAUGGAGCUGCUUUGGGAGGUGGUCUUGAAAUGGCCCUUGCUUGUGAUAUUCGCACAGCUGCCAACAAUGCGAAAAUGGGUCUGGUGGAAACGCGCCUCGCCAUCAUACCAGGAGCAGGUGGCACUCAGCGAUUGCCACGUAUUCUCUCCCCAGCACUUGCAAAGGAAUUGAUUUUUACAGCACGUGUGUUUGAUGGUGCCGAAGCCAAAGAACUGGGUCUAGUCAAUCAUGUGGUGCAACAAAACGAAGCCAAAGAUGCCGCCUAUCAGCGGGCCUUAAAACUUGCCGAGGAGAUCCUGCCGAAUGGUCCAGUGGGUGUCCGCAUGGCCAAGUUGGCGGUAGAUAAAGGCAUGCAAGUGGAUCUCAAUACUGGCUAUUCUAUCGAGGAAGUCUGCUAUGCCCAGGUUAUACCCACUAAAGAUCGUCUGGAGGGUCUCGCUGCUUUCGCUGAGAAGCGUAAGCCUGUCUAUAAGGGCGAAUAAACAUAAUUUCCUUGUUCAAUCAUGCGAUCGAAAAUCAAGCUGUCAACAGUCAUUGUUAUAUGUUCAUCAAUUAAAACCCCGUUGAGUUCUCCUCGUGAUUUGGUUUCUCAUCUGGUAUCGGAACAAACAUAUAAUAUAAGCCACCUCCAACUAUGCGGAAACACAAAUACUCAUAGAACUCUUGUCAGAUGUGUUUAGAAAGCUCUCAUUCACGAGAUACUUGGAUAUAACUAUCUACAUAUGUGUGUCUAGCAUUCCUUACCCACUGAUUUAUGCUGUUGAAAAC